AACGAGCGCAACCCCACUUGCUAGUUACCAUCAUUAAGUUGGGGGACGUCUAGCGAGACUGCCAGUGAUAAACUGGAGGAAGGUGGGGGAUGACGUCAAAUCAUCAUGCCCCUUAUGACCUGGGCUACAAACGUGAUACAAUGGCCGGAACAAAGGGAUGCGAAGCAGUGAUGUGGAGCGAAACCCAUAAAAACAGUCUCAGUUCGGAUUGAAGUCUGCAACUCGACUUCAUGAAGUCGGAAUCGCUAGUAAUCGCGGAUCAGAACGCCGCGGUGAAUACGUUCUCGGGGUUU
rnacentral:rRNA from 1 species